GUACAUAACUUUUAGAUGCAACUGAUCCUUUGUUUAUAGAAAUUGGAAAGGCAUUUAUGGAACAACAACUUAAAGAAUAUGGCAGGAGAAGUCACAUAUACAAUUGUGAUACAUUUGAUGAGAACACUCCACCUGUAGAUGAUCCAAAGUAUAUAUCUUCCUUGGGUUCUGCAAUAUAUAAAGGAAUUCAAAGUGGUGAUGAUGAUGCAAUAUGGCUCAUGCAGGUAUCAUAAAUUAGUUAUUUCAUAGGCACCAUAGGUUGAUAUUAUUCAUCCUUUAAUUACUCCAACACAUGAAUGAGGAGUUGACAUCUUGAAGAGGGUUCUUUUUAAGUGUAGAUAUUGGUGGUCAAUUUUUACAAUUUAACAAUUGAUUAGUUUGGCAAACUUGGAAACUUGGUUUUAGAUUUAAUACAUGUUAGCUAAAGCUGGGUUUCAGAACAAAUAGAUAGUUUGUUAAUUUUUAUCCCUGUUUCUAUUGAUCCAAUUUGAACACUAAGAACUUAUGUAUCAUGUAAUAGAUAUUUUGUCAUUAGAAAUAAUUUCAAGGUUAUUGCUGAAGAUGCAUGCUAUUGUACCAUAUUGGUUGCCAAUGAAUAUUAAGCAUUAAACAAUCCUGGAGUAGGAAGCUUUUCCUAUUUCAGUUAGAUGAUGCCUAGUGAUUAUUUGAGUUUCUUGUGGUUUUAUAAUAAACAGAUAUCAACAUUUUAUGAGGCAUGAUACCCUCAUUAUCAUGU